CGGAACAAAACAAAAAUUUACAAUAGAGUAUGAACAAUCCUGAAUGAAGAACUCAUCCAAGAGAUCUAACUAUCCAAUCACCAUCCCAGCAUAUGCAAAAUAAUAUAUAUAUAUAUAAAAGACGGCAAAGAUGAUGAUUGAAACGGGUAGACAUAACCGACUGAGCAAAAACUAUUCCAGGCACUACAAAAGGAAUAGUUUUUGCUACCCGGUUUAAUUGGGAGUUAGGAGUGUAGGGAGACAAGUGGAAUUUAUGAUCUCAUUUUUUAAAGCAAAAGAAUAAGGAAAUUACCAUAAUAAUGACCCCGGUUUAAAGUGGAA
rnacentral:misc_RNA from 1 species